rnacentral:rRNA from 1 species
UAGAGUUUGAUCCUGGCUCAGAACGAACGCUGGCGGCAGGCUUAACACAUGCAAGUCGAGCGCCCCGCAAGGGGAGCGGCAGACGGGUGAGUAACGCGUGGGAAUCUACCUUUUGCUACGGAAUAACUCAGGGAAACUUGUGCUAAUACCGUAUGUGCCCUUCGGGGGAAAGAUUUAUCGGCAAAGGAUGAGCCCGCGUUGGAUUAGCUAGUUGGUGGGGUAAAGGCCCACCAAGGCGACGAUCCAUAGCUGGUCUGAGAGGAUGAUCAGCCACACUGGGACUGAGACACGGCCCAGACUCCUACGGGAGGCAGCAGUGGGGAAUAUUGGACAAUGGGCGCAAGCCUGAUCCAGCCAUGCCGCGUGAGUGAUGAAGGCCCUAGGGUUGUAAAGCUCUUUCACCGGUGAAGAUAAUGACGGUAACCGGAGAAGAAGCCCCGGCUAACUUCGUGCCAGCAGCCGCGGUAA